rnacentral:rRNA from 1 species
UAAGGACCUCCCACCCUUGUGUAUUAUUACUUUGUUGCUUUGGCGAGCUGCCUUCGGGCCUUGUAUGCUCGCCAGAGAAUACCAAAACUCUUUUUAUUAAUGUCGUCUGAGUACUAUAUAAUAGUUAAAACUUUCAACAACGGAUCUCUUGGUUCUGGCAUCGAUGAAGAACGCAGCGAAAUGCGAUAAGUAAUGUGAAUUGCAGAAUUCAGUGAAUCAUCGAAUCUUUGAACGCACAUUGCGCCCCUUGGUAUUCCGGGGGGCAUGCCUGUUCGAGCGUCAUUUCAACCCUCAAGCUUAGCUUGGUAUUGAGUCUAUGUCAGUAAUGGCAGGCUCUAAAAUCAGUGGCGGCGCCGCUGGGUCCUGAACGUAGUAAUAUCUCUCGUUACAGGUUCUCGGUGUGCUUCUGCCAAAACCCAAAUUUUUCUAUGGUUGACCUCGGAUCAGGUAGGGAUACCCGCUGAACUUAAGCAUAUCAAAAACGGGGAGGAAGGAU